UACAGAGGUCACAAGCGUUGUUCGGAUUCACUGGGCGUAAAGGGUGCGUAGGCGGUCGGGUAAGUCUGAUGUGAAAUCUCCAAGCCUAACUUGGAAACUGCAUUGGAUACUAUCCGGCUCGAGGAAUGGAGGGGAGACUGGAAUACUUGGUGUAGCAGUGAAAUGCGUAGAUAUCAAGUGGAACACCAGUGGCGAAGGCGAGUCUCUGGACAUUUCCUGACGCUGAGGCACGAAAGCCAGGGGAGCAAACGGG
rnacentral:rRNA from 1 species